GCUUGGAAUUCAGUUUGUUUCCUUGUCCCCAUUCCUGCUUCCAAAAGGACUUAAAAAUAGAAUCCAUGGCCCCAUUUUAGGUAAAUGGUUGGGGAAAAAAUGUUAUUAUGUUACUGAAUCACUGUUAAAUUAUCAGUGUUAUGUUUUGGAAUAGGUGUAUCUAUUAAAAACAAAUGGUUGAGUGUGAUUUGCUGGUGGGGCACCUGCCUGGCGAGUGGGAAGCUCUGGGUUUGAUCCUCAGCCCCAUAAAACAAUAAAGAAUAAAAAGAGCAUUAAAGUAAGACAUCUCAAGGGCAACAGGCCUGACAACUUAAGUUUGACCCCACAGACCUACAUUGUUGAGUAAGGAACUGUUCUUUCAGGUUACCCUCUAACCUACACACACACACUGUGGCACAGCAAAUAGGUGAAAGACAGACAGACAGACAGUCAGACAGAUAGGUAGAUAGAUGCAUGCUGAGAGAGAAGAAAGGAAGCAGGCAAAGAGAAAGAGGAGAUAAACACAUUGUCCAGACUCCUUGAUUCUCAGUGUACCAUCUAGACUCUUAGGCUGCUAUCCAUGGAGUGAACUCCAGAAUUAUUAUUGUGCAGAUUCUCCAAAUUCUUCAGUUUUUCACCAGUGAUUAAGGAUUUCUGCUUUCAAUUCCCUAACACUUAGAUUUCUUUUUUGUUAUUAAGAAAAGAAAAAAAGAGGGCCAGUGAAAUGGGUCAAUAGGUGAAGGUAAGCCUGAUGACCUGAGUUGAGUCCCAAGACCUGUAUGGUGAAGGGCAAGCAUUGACUCUGCCAAGUUGUCCUCUGACCUCUGCACAUGAGCUGUGGCAAACAUGUACACGUGCUAAUAGUAAAUCUAAUAUUUUUUAAAGAGAAAAUGUUUGUUAUUUAGCCUUUGUAUGGCUAAUAAUGCAACAAUUACUCUACAUAUUUCUUGUAUUAUUGCAAUACCAUAAAUCCAAUAUUUUCAGUCCAGCAAUGGGGCCAAAGAACAUUUUGUAGGUGCUUUCUCUUGUUCCUAAUAUAAGUGCAUGCUAUCUCAAAACUUUUUAAAGAUUCCUUUGCCUUUCACUAUUUGGGUGAAAGAUUCCUAAAGUAGGGGAGUGGCAGAGGAGCCAUUUCUAGUCAUUUUCAAAGCUUCUUGCACUGAUUCUCACAGACCAGGCCCCUUCUCCCCCCGCCCCCCAGCUCUGCUCUGGGUUGGUAGCUUAUGUCGUUCUUGAUGAAAGAGCAGUUGAUGCUCUCAGGGAAUUUAAUGAAGAAGGAACUCAGUCUGUACUAUAGCAGUUCAAAGAAAGUGACUUAUCUCUGGUUCAGAACAAAAGUGUAUUUUAUGUGGAGUUAUAAAAACCUACAGGCAAAGAGAGAAACAAGACAGCAAGGUGCAGGAGUCCACAAAGAUGAGGCAAAGACAGGCCUUGCUUAAGAGGACUGCUUAGACUUUGGAUGUAACUACAGGACAGAGGAAGUAUGGUGGUCCUCCACCAGACAGUGUUUACGCGGGUGUGCAGCCUAGAACUGGAACAGAGGUCUUCGUAGGGAAACUUCCAAGAGUCUUGUGUGAGGAUGAGUUGGUGCCCCUUUUUGAGAAGGCUGGUCCUAUCUAAGGUCUAUGCCUCAUGAUGAAUCCACUCUCCGGUCAGAACAGAGGCUAUGCAUUCAUCACCUUCUGUGGAAAGGAAGCUGCCCAGGAAGCAGUUAAACUGUGUGACCGCUAUGAGAUUCGCCAUGGUAAACACCUAAGAGUGUGCAUUUCUGUGGCAAACAACAAACUUUUUCUUGGAUCCAUUCCAAAGAAUAAACUAAAGAGAACUUGUGGAAAAGUUCAGUAAAGUCACAGAGGGUUUGGUAGGCGUUAUUCUCUAUCAUCAACCCGAUGACAAAAAGAAGACUCGGGGGUUCUGCUUCCUUGACUAUGAGGAUCACGAGUCAGCAACACAAGCCAGACGCCGGCUCAUGAGUGGAAAAGUCAAAGUGUGGGGAAAUGAGUGGACUGACCCCGUGGCAGGACCGGAUCCAGAACUCAUGGCAAAGGUAAAUGUUUUGUUUGUGAGAAACUUGGCUAUUACUGUGACUGAAGAAAUAUUAGGAAAAUCAUUUUCUGAAUCUAGAAAACUGGAGAGAGUGAAGAAGUUGAAAGCUUAUGCAUUCGUUCAAUUUGAAGAUAGAGCUGCUACUGUCAAGACUAUGGAUGAGGUGAAUGGAAAAGAAAUAGAAGGGGAAGAAAUUGAAGUUGUCUUAGCUAAGCCACCAGACAAGAAAAGGAAAGAGCACUAAGCUGGUAGACAGGCCUCCAGAAGCACUGCGUAUGAGGACGAUUAUUAUCACCCUCCUCCCAAAUGCCACCGCCAGUGAGAGGUCAGGUCACGGAGGCAGAGGUAGGCAGCCUCCUCCAGAUUAUUACAGCUAGGAAGACUAUGAUGAUUGCUAUGGUUAUGGUUAUCAGAACUGUCAUGGAGGCUAUGAAGAUCCCUACUACAGUUAUGAUGAUGGCUAUGCAGUAAGAAGAGGAGGAGUGCAUACCAUGUGUGUUCUUUUGGGAUUGGGUGAGAACACACAUGGUAUGCAC